rnacentral:rRNA from 1 species
AGAGUUUGAUCCUGGCUCAGAUUGAACGCUGGCGGCAGGCCUAACACAAGCAAGUCGAGCGGAAACGAGUUAUCAGAACCUUCGGGGAACGAUAACGGCGUCGAGCGGCGGACGGGUGAGUAAUGCCUAGGAAAUUGCCCUGAUGUGGGGGAUAACCAUUGGAAACGAUGGCUAAUACCGCAUGAUGCCUACGGGCCAAAGAGGGGGACCUUCGGGCCUCUCGCGUCAGGAUAUGCCUAGGUGGGAUUAGCUAGUUGGUGAGGUAAGGGCUCACCAAGGCGACGAUCCCUAGCUGGUCUGAGAGGAUGAUCAGCCACACUGGAACUGAGACACGGUCCAGACUCCUACGGGAGGCAGCAGUGGGGAAUAUUGCACAAUGGGCGCAAGCCUGAUGCAGCCAUGCCGCGUGUGUGAAGAAGGCCUUCGGGUUGUAAAGCACUUUCAGUCGUGAGGAAGGUAGUGUAGUUAAUAGCUGCAUUAUUUGACGUUAGCGACAGAAGAAGCACCGGCUAACUCCGUGCCAGCAGCCGCGGUAAUACGGAGGGUGCGAGCGUUAAUCGGAAUUACUGGGCGUAAAGCGCAUGCAGGUGGUUUGUUAAGUCAGAUGUGAAAGCCCGGGGCUCAACCUCGGAAUUGCAUUUGAAACUGGCAGACUAGAGUACUGUAGAGGGGGGGUAGAAUUUCAGGUGUAGCGGUGAAAUGCGUAGAGAUCUGAAAGGAAUACCGGUGGCGAAAGGCGGCCCCCUGGACAGAUACUGACACUCAGAUGCGAAAGCGUGGGGGAGCAAACAGGAUUAGAUACCCUGGGUAGUCCACGCCCGUAAACGAUGUCUAGUGGAGGCUGUGGUCAUUGAGCCGGUGACUUUUCGGGGAGAGCCUUAACGAGAGAUUUCCUGGAAGGGCAAUACCGAGUGACGAAGACCGACGCCCUGACCAGGAUACUGACAACUCAGGAUGCGAAAGGCGUGGGGGAGCAAACAGGAUUAGAUACCCUGGUAGUCCACGCCGUAAACGAUGUCUACUUGGAAGGUUGUGGCCCUUGAGCCGUGGCUUUCGGAGCUAACGCGUUAAGUAGACCGCCUGGGGAGUACGGUCGCAAGAUUAAAACUCAAAUGAAUUGACGGGGGCCCGCACAAGCGGUGGAGCAUGUGGUUUAAUUCGAUGCAACGCGAAGAACCUUACCUACUCUUGACAUCCAGAGAACUUUCCAGAGAUGGAUUGGUGCCUUCGGGAACUCUGAGACAGGUGCUGCAUGGCUGUCGUCAGCUCGUGUUGUGAAAUGUUGGGUUAAGUCCCGCAACGAGCGCAACCCUUAUCCUUGUUUGCCAGCGAGUAAUGUCGGGAACUCCAGGGAGACUGCCGGUGAUAAACCGGAGGAAGGUGGGGACGACGUCAAGUCAUCAUGGCCCUUACGAGUAGGGCUACACACGUGCUACAAUGGCGCAUACAGAGGGCAGCCAACUUGCGAAAGUGAGCGAAUCCCAAAAAGUGCGUCGUAGUCCGGAUUGGAGUCUGCAACUCGACUCCAUGAAGUCGGAAUCGCUAGUAAUCGUGGAUCAGAAUGCCACGGUGAAUACGUUCCCGGGCCUUGUACACACCGCCCGUCACACCAUGGGAGUGGGCUGCAAAAGAAGUAGGUAGUUUAACCUUCGGGGGGACGCUUACCACUUUGUGGUUCAUGACUGGGGUGAAGUCGUAACAAGAUAGCCGUA